GAUGAACGAUGGAGGCGUGCCUAAUACAUGCAAGUCGAGCGAACAGACGAGGAGCUUGCUCCUCUGACGUUAGCGGCGGACGGGUGAGUAACACGUGGAUAACCUACCUAUAAGACUGGGAUAACUUCGGGAUACCGGAGCUAAUACCGGAUAAUAUAUUGAACCGCAUGGUUCAAUAGUGAAAGACGGUUUUGCUGUCACUUAUAGAUGGAUCCGCGCCGCAUUAGCUAGUUGGUAAGGUAACGGCUUACCAAGGCAACGAUGCGUAGCCGACCUGAGAGGGUGAUCGGCCACACUGGAACUGAGACACGGUCCAGACUCCUACGGGAGGCAGCAGUAGGGAAUCUUCCGCAAUGGGCGAAAGCCUGACGGAGCAACGCCGCGUGAGUGAUGAAGGUCUUCGGAUCGUAAAACUCUGUUAUUAGGGAAGAACAAAUGUGUAAGUAACUAUGCACGUCUUGACGGUACCUAAUCAGAAAGCCACGGCUAACUACGUG
rnacentral:rRNA from 1 species